UGGUACUGCGGAGACAUUACUGAUUUGCUUAAUUGCACCACAUGUGUUUUUUAUUGAACAAAUUUCUUUGGUGGCGGGAGCAAUCCUACCGCCAGAGGUUAUAACUAAACCAAACUUUUUAUUUACAGUCAAACUUGAUUUAUUAUUACAAUAGUCAAAACUUUCAACAACGGAUCUCUUGGUUCUCGCAUCGAUGAAGAACGCAGCGAAAUGCGAUACGUAAUAUGAAUUGCAGAUAUUCGUGAAUCAUCGAAUCUUUGAACGCACAUUGCGCCCUUUGGUAUUCCAAAGGGCAUGCCUGUUUGAGCGUCAUUUCUCCCUCAAACCCCCGGGUUUGGUGUUGAGCAAUACGCUAGGUUUGUUUGAAAGAAUUUAACGUGGAAACUUAUUUUAAGCGACUUAGGUUUAUCCAAAAACGCUUAUUUUGCUAGUGGCCACCACAAUUUAUUUCAUAACUUUGACCUCAAAUCAGGUAGGACUACCCGCUGAACUUAAGCAUAUCAAAGGCGGGGAGGAAAA
rnacentral:rRNA from 1 species